rnacentral:tRNA from 1 species
GUCAGGAUGGCCGAGCGGUCUAAGGCGCCAGACUCAAGGUUACCUUACCCACUACAUGUGGGUCCGGGCGUUCUGGUCCUCUCUGAGGGCGUGGGUUCGAAUCCCACUUCUGACA